UGUGGGAGCGAGCCUGCUCGCGAUAACGGUGGAUCAGUCAGCAACACUGUUGACUGACACUCCGCUAUCGCGAGCAGGCUCGCUCCCACA
rnacentral:misc_RNA from 1 species